CCUACGGGCGGCAGCAGUGAGGAAUAUUGGUCAAUGGGCGAGAGCCUGAACCAGCCAAGUCGCGUGAAGGAUGACUGCCCUACGGGUUGUAAACUUCUUUUAUAAAGGAAUAAAGUGAGGAACGUGUUCCUUUUUGUAUGUACUUUAUGAAUAAGGAUCGGCUAACUCCGUGCCAGCAGCCGCGGUAAUACGGAGGAUCCGAGUGUUAUCCGGAUUUAUUGGGUUUAAAGGGAGCGUAGAUGGGUUGUUAAGUCAGUUGUGAAAGUUUGCGGCUCAACCGUAAAAUUGCAGUUGAUACUGGUAGACUUGAGUACAGUUGAGGUAGGCGGAAUUCGUGGUGUAGCGGUGAAAUGCUUAGAUAUCACGAAGAACUCCGAUUGCGAAGGCAGCUUACUAAACUGCCACUGACACUGAGGCUCGAAAGUGUGGGUAUCAAACAGGAUUAGAUACCCUAGUAGUC
rnacentral:rRNA from 1 species